rnacentral:tRNA from 1 species
AGGGGCAUAGCUCAAUUGGUAGAGCACCCGUCUCCAAAAUGGGUUGUUGCGGGUUCAAGUCCUGCUGCCCCUG